rnacentral:rRNA from 1 species
UAAUACGUAGGGUGCAAGCGUUAAUCGGAAUUACUGGGCGUAAAGGGUGCGCAGGCGGUACUGUAAGUCAGAUGUGAAAUCCCCGGGCUUAACCUGGGAACUGCGUUUGAAACUACAGAACUAGAGUGUAGUAGAGGGAGGCGGAAUUCCAUGUGUAGCAGUGAAAUGCGUAGAGAUAUGGAAGAACAUCGAUGGCGAAGGCAGCCUCCUGGAUUAACACUGACGCUCAUGCACGAAAGCGUGGGGAGCAAACAGGAUUAGAUACCCUGGUAGUCCACGCCCUAAACGAUGUCAACUAGUUGUUAGGCUUUAAAAAGCUUAGUAACGUAGCUAACGCAUGAAGUUGACCGCCUGGGGAGUACGGUCGCAAGAUUAAAACUCAAAGGAAUUGACGG